UACGUAGGGGGGCAAGCGUUGUCCGGAUUUACUGGGCGUAAAGAGCGUGUAGGCGGCCACGCAGGUCCGUUGUGAAAACUGGAGGCUCAACCUCCAGCUGUCGACGGAAACCGUAUGGCUAGAGUCCGGAAGAGGAGAGUGGAAUUCCUGGUGUAGCGGUGAAAUGCGCAGAUAUCAGGAAGAACACCAAUGGCGAAGGCAGCUCUCUGGGGACGGUACUGACGCUGAGACGCGAAAGCGUGGGGAGCGAACAGG
rnacentral:rRNA from 1 species